AACGAACGCUGGCGGCGUGCUUAACACAUGCAAGUCGAACGCGAAAGGGACUUCGGUCCUGAGUAAAGUGGCGCACGGGUGAGUAACGCGUAGAUAACCUAUCUUCAUGUCUGGAAUAAUACGCCGAAAGGGGUACUAAUACUGGAUACUCUUGCUUUAUAUAAGUUUUGCAAGCAAAGGUGGCCUCUGCAUAUGCUACUGCAUGAAGAGGGGUCUGCGUACCAUUAGCUAGUAGGUGGGGUAAUGGCCUACCUAUGCGACGAUGGUUCGCGGGUCGGGGGGGAUUAUCCGCCACACUGGCACUGGAACACGGGCCAUACUCCUACGGGAGGCAGCAGUGAGGAAUAUUGCGCAAUGGGGGCAACCCUGACGCAGCGACGCCGCGUGAGUGAGGAAGGCCUUCGGGUCGUAAAGCUCUGUCAAAGGGAAAGAAGUGCAUGAUGGCUAAUACCUGUCAUGUUUGACGGUACCCUUAAAGGAAGCACCGGCUAACUCCGUGCCAGCCGCCGCGGUAAGAC
rnacentral:rRNA from 1 species